rnacentral:sRNA from 1 species
GCAGAGCUCCAUGGUUUCUGUCAUACACAUGUGUGGGAUACUUUAGGAUGCUGUGAUCUAUGGUGAUGUGCAUGUGAACUUCACUCAAGAAGAAUGGGCUUUGCUGGAUCCUUCACAGAAGAAUCUCUACAAAGAUGUGAUGCUGGAGACCAACAGGAACCUCACUGCUGUAGGCUAUAACUGGAAAGACCAUAAAAUUGAAGAACAUUGUCAAAGUUCUAGAAGACAUGCAAGGCAUGAAAGAAGUCCUACUGGAGAGAAACCCUGUAAAGGUAUUCAAUAUGGUGAAUCCUUUGUACAUCACAAUAGUCUCCAAAUAUAUAAAAGGACACAUAGUAGAGAGAAACCCUACAAAUGUAAUCGAUGUGACAGAGCCUUUUCACGUCAUAGUUAUCUCAAAACCCAUAAAAGAGCACAUACUGGAUAGAAGCCCUAUGAAUGUAAUCUGUGUAGUAAAGCCUUUGCAUAUCAUAGUAAUUUUCA